rnacentral:tRNA from 1 species
UCCUGGAGGACUAGUGGUUAGGCCUCAGUGCUCUAACGGCUGCGGCUCGGGUUCAAUUCCCAGUCAGGGAA